rnacentral:rRNA from 1 species
UACGUAGGGUGCGAGCGUUAAUCGGAAUUACUGGGCGUAAAGCGUGCGUAGGCGGCUAUGUAAGACAGAUGUGAAAUCCCUGGGCUCAACCUAGGAACUGCAUUUGUGACUGCAUUGCUAGAGUGUGGUAGAGGGAGAUGGAAUUCCGCAUGUAGCAGUGAAAUGCGUAGAUAUGCGGAGGAACACCAAUGGCGAAGGCAAGCUCCUGGACCUGCACUGACGCUCAUGCACGAAAGCGUGGGGAGCAAACAGG